GAUGAACGCUGGCGGCGUGCCUAAUACAUGCAAGUCGAACGAACAGACGAGUAGCUUGCUCCACUGACGUUAACGGCGGACGGGUGAGUAACACGUGAAUAACCUACCUAUAAGACUGGGAUAACUUCGGGAAACCGGUGCUAAUACCGUAUAAUUUCUUCAACCGCAUGGUUCAAUAGUUACAGCGGGUUUUGCUGUCCCUUCUACAUGGCUCCGCGCUGCAUUAGCUGGUUGGUAAGCUAACGGCUUACCAUGGCCACCAUGCGUAGCCGACCUGAGAGCGUGAACGGCCACAGCGGGAGUGAGACACGGUCCUGAGUCCGACGGGAGGCCGCGGUAGGGAAGCGACCGAGAUGGGGGGAAGAUUGAAGGAGGAACGCAGGGUGAGUGAUGAAGGGCUGCGGACCGGAAAACGGUGUUAUUGGUGAAGAACAAAUGUGUAAGUAACUAUGCACGUCGUGACGGUACCUGAUCAGAAAGCAACGGCUAACUACGUG
rnacentral:rRNA from 1 species